ACGGAAGGCAGCAGUGGGGAAUAUUGGGCAAUGGGCGCAAGCCUGACCCAGCAACGCCGCGUGAAGGAAGAAGGCUUUCGGGUUGUAAACUUCUUUUAAGGGGGAAGAGCAGAAGACGGUACCCCUAGAAUAAGCCACGGCUAACUACGUGCCAGCAGCCGCGGUAAUACGUAGGUGGCAAGCGUUGUCCGGAUUUACUGGGUGUAAAGGGCGUGUAGCCGGGUCGGCAAGUCAGAUGUGAAAUCCACGGGCUCAACUCGUGAACUGCAUUUGAAACUGUUGAUCUUGAGUAUCGGAGGGGCAAUCGGAAUUCCUAGUGUAGCGGUGAAAUGCGUAGAUAUUAGGAGGAACACCAGUGGCGAAGGCGGAUUGCUGGACGACAACUGACGGUGAGGCGCGAAAGUGUGGGGAGCAAACAGGAUUAGAUACCCUGGUA
rnacentral:rRNA from 1 species